CCUACGGGAGGCAGCAGUGGGGAAUAUUGGGCAAUGGGCGCAAGCCUGACCCAGCAAAGCCGCGUGAAGGAAGAAGGCUUUCGGGUUGUAAACUUCUUUUAAGGGGGAAGAGCAGAAGACGGUACCCCUUGAAUAAGCCACGGCUAACUACGUGCCAGCAGCCGCGGUAAUACGUAGGUGGCAAGCGUUGUCCGGAUUUAAUGGGUGUAAAGGGCGUGCAGCCGGAGAGACAAGUCAGAUGUGAAAUCCACGGGCUCAACCCGUGAACUGCAUUUGAAACUGUUUCCCUUGAGUGUCGGAGAGGUAAUCGGAAUUCCUUGUGUAGCGGUGAAAUGCGUAGAUAUAAGGAAGAACACCAGUGGCGAAGGCGGAUUACUGGACGAUAACUGACGGUGAGGCGCGAAAGCGUGGGGAGCAAACAGGAUUAGAUACCCCGGUAGUC
rnacentral:rRNA from 1 species